CAAGUCGAGCGAACAGAUGAGAAGCUUGCUUCUCUGAUGUUAGCGGCGGACGGGUGAGUAACACGUGGGUAACCUACCUAUAAGACUGGGAUAACUCCGGGAAACCGGGGCUAAUACCGGAUAAUAUUUUGAACCGCAUGGUUCAAUAGUGAAAGACGGUUUCGGCUGUCACUUAUAGAUGGACCCGCGCCGUAUUAGCUAGUUGGUAAGGUAACGGCUUACCAAGGCGACGAUACGUAGCCGACCUGAGAGGGUGAUCGGCCACACUGGAACUGAGACACGGUCCAGACUCCUACGGGAGGCAGCAGUAGGGAAUCUUCCGCAAUGGGCGAAAGCCUGACGGAGCAACGCCGCGUGAGUGAUGAAGGUCUUCGGAUCGUAAAACUCUGUUGUUAGGGAAGAACAAAUUUGUUAGUAACUGAACAAGUCUUGACGGUACCUAACCAGAAAGCCACGGCUAACUACGUGCCAGCAGCCGCGGUAAUACGUAGGUGGCAAGCGUUAUCCGGAAUUAUUGGGCGUAAAGCGCGCGUAGGCGGUUUCUUAAGUCUGAUGUGAAAGCCCACGGCUCAACCGUGGAGGGUCAUUGGAAACUGGGAAACUUGAGUGCAGAAGAGGAGAGUGGAAUUCCAUGUGUAGCGGUGAAAUGCGCAGAGAUAUGGAGGAACACCAGUGGCGAAAGCGGCUCUCUGGUCUGUAACUGACGCUGAUGUGCGAAAGCGUGGGGAUCAAACAGGAUUAGAUACCCUGGUAGUCCACGCCGUAAACGAUGAGUGCUAAGUGUUAGGGGUUUCCGCCCCUUAGUGCUGCAGCUAACGCAUUAAGCAC
rnacentral:rRNA from 2 species